rnacentral:rRNA from 1 species
UACGUAGGGUGCAAGCGUUGCCCGGAUUUAUUGGGCGUAAAGGGCGCGUAGGCGGCUCUGCACGUUCGUUGUGAAAUCGCCCGGCUCAACUGGGCGGGGUCAGCGGAUACGGCAGAGCUUGAGCAAGCUAGGGGGCAAUGGAAUUCCCGGUGUAGUGGUGGAAUGCGUAGAUAUCGGGAGGAACACCAGUGGCGAAGGCGGCUUCCUGGCCUGUUCUUGACGCUGAGGCGCGAAAGCUAGGGGAGCAAACGGG